GACGAACGCUGGCGGCGUGCUUAACACAUGCAAGUCGAACGGAAAGGCCCUGCUUGCAGGGUACUCGAGUGGCGAACGGGUGAGUAACACGUGGGUGAUCUGCCCUGCACUUCGGGAUAAGCCUGAGAAACUGGGUCUAAUACCGGAUAGGACCAUCGAGUAGUGUCGGUGGUGGAAAGUUUUUCGGUGCAGGAUGCGCCCGCGGCCUAUCAGCUUGUUGGUGGGGUAAUGGCCUACCAAUGAGUCGACGGGUAGCCGGCCUGCGAGGGUGGGCGGCCACAUUGGGACUGAGACACGGCCCAGACUCCUACGGGAGGCAGCAGUGGGGAAUAUUGCACAAUGGGCGCAAGCCUGAUGCAGCGACGCCGCGUGGGGGAUGCAGGCCUUCGGGUGGUAAACUCCUUUCAGCCAUGACGAAGCUGGCCUUGUUGGGUCAGUGACGGUAGUGGUAGAAGAAGCACCGGCUAACUACGUGCCAGCAGCCGGUGUAA
rnacentral:rRNA from 1 species